CCCUCCGGCUCAGACCGCUGAAGGGUUUCCCUUCCCGGCUGCUGCUGAUCCCUUCCUAUUCCGGAGUCACACAGCCCAGCAGUGCCCCCGAGCAGCGAUGGGUCCAAGGACCACUUGGGAUGGUCAUGCAGAUGCUGGUGCUGCUGCAGCACAGCCUGUUUGCAGUCGUGCUGCGGUCCCGGCGGCUGCAGGUAGGUGAUGGAUGAGGGGCCCGGGGGCGCGGGGGCACAGGGGCUGCCCCUCACCCACCCACUCACUGCUCCCACAGAAGAUCUGCCGGAGGUUGGGGAAGAAGAGGAGAGUGCCGAGCGCCAGGAGGAAGAAGGGGAGAGGUGAGCAGCCCCAGUGCCUGCGCUGAGCAGCCCAGCCAGUGUGGGGCUGGGUGGGGGUCCCGGCCGUUCACACGCUCUUGCUUUGGCAGAUGCUUGCGGGAAGGACAGAGCAGCGGGGAUGUCGUCGCCGACCUGGGAGUUGCGGUGAGUGCUGCUUGGCCAACCUGCCCCCCAUUGCUGCAGGGCCUGGCGUCAGGGCCACGGGCGGGGGCUGUGCUGGGGUCGUGGCCGGGGGCUGUGCUGCGGCAUGGCGGCAGCGGGUCCCCUCAUCUCCUCCAUUUCCUCCUGCAGGACGAGCCCACGGGAAAGGAGCAGGAAGCCACCCCGCGCCCCGCUGGCAUCCAUGCUGUCCCUGGGCUCCCUUGAUGAAUCUUCUUCCUCCUCCGGUUCCUCCCUCUACUCCUUCCCAGAGCCCUGGCCCGGUGCACUGUCAGAGUUGGCUGCCCUUGCCCCUCGUGCCGCCCCAGAGCCACGAGAGCCACAACCAGGGCCAGAGCCACAGCAAGAACCAGAGCCAGAGCCAGAGGCAGAGCUGGAGCCUGAUCCAGAGUCAGAGCCAGAGUCAGAGGCAGAGGCAGAGGCAGAGGAAGAGCCUGAGGAAGAGCUGGAGCCACAACCAGAGUCAGAGGCAGCGUCAGAGGAAGAGCCAGAGGAAGAGCCUGAGGCUGAGCCAUCCCUGUGCCCCAGCUCGGAGUCCCCGGCUCUGCUGCCAGCAGCCCCCAGCACCCCCUAUUCCCUGCGGAUGACUGAGCAGAGCGAUGGAGCGCAGAGCCCCAUGGAGCCCUCCCCGCCCCACUGCUCCCACACGGAGCUCAUCCAGGAGCUGAUCUGUGCCAUCCGUGGGAACCACGCAGCCGUUGAGC
ensembl:lncRNA